GGGGAUAGUUCGAUUUCAAAGGAUUAUGGUUUGUUUAUUACGUACCCACUUCGGCCUGAAGAUACUCUUGAUUCUAUUGCAAAUGCAUCCAAUAUCAGUGCUAACUUGCUGCAGAGAUAUAAUGUUGGUGCCAAUUUUAGUCAAGGAAGUGGUUUGGUUUAUAUUCCAGGCAAAGAUGACAAUAAUAGCUAUCGGCCUCUGACAUCAAGCACAGGGAUAGCAGGUGGAGUUAUUGCUGGCAUAUCCAUAGGGGCAGUAGCUGUGGUGCUGUUAGUAGCAGUUAUUGUGUACUUUGGAUUUUAUCAGAAAAAGAAGUUGAAGAAAGCAAUAUUGCUUUCUGGAUCUAAUGAUCUCUCUGCUCAAGCUUUGCAAGCUCCUGGAAGUAACUCAGAUAAACCUGUGGAAUCAACCGGUCUGGCGCCGUCUCCAGUCCUUACUGGCAUAACUGUGGAUAAAUCAGUGGAGUUCUCAUAUGAAGAACUUGCCCA
rnacentral:misc_RNA from 1 species